rnacentral:misc_RNA from 1 species
GUCAGAAUCCCCCCUAAACGUAGCGAUACCGCAGCGCCGAGGCGCCUCGGUGGGCUCGCGAUAGCCGGCCGCCGCCCCCCUCGGGCGGGCGGUCGGUGCGGAGCGCCGCUCGUGGUCGGGACCGGAGCGCGGACAGAUGUGGCGCCGCCUCUCCCCCGCCGCGUACCGCAUGUUCGUGGGGAACCCGGUGCUAAAUCAUUCGUAGACGACCUGAUUCUGGGUCGGG